UACAGAGGAGCCAAGCGUUGUCCGGAUUGACUGGGCGUAAAGCGCACGCAGGCGGGUGUGCGCGUGGGGGGUGAAAUCUGGCCGCUUAACGGCCAGGCGCCAUCCCAUACGGCACGCCUGGAGUGAUGCAGAGGUCGAUGGAAUUGCCGGUGUAGUGGUGAAAUACAUAGAGAUGUCAUAGAACACCGAUUGCGAAGGCAGCUCACAAAACUGUAACUGACACUGAGGCUCGAAAGUGCGGGGAUCAAACAGG
rnacentral:rRNA from 1 species